CCCCCCCCGCAGUACAAUUACAUGCACGAGUGCUUUGAGCGGAUCUUCUGUGAGCUGAGAUGGUACCGGGAGGUUGAAGAUGACGUCUCCAACGCUGACAACAAGAGCUGCAGCGAUGACAGCAUGUGCAGCAAGAAUAUAUUCCAGAUCCUGCGAUCACAGAGGAGAUCAGCCAGCUCUUAGCCUUCCGGAAGGAUCUAGUGCAUAACCCCCACCGGCCUCCCAACACCGCUGAUUCCCCGUGGGGAUCACGCUACAGCGUCUGAGGAAGCGGGGCGAGGACUCAGAAAACAUGAACUACAUUUCUGGCUGUGGGGAAGGGCUGCAGUGUGACUCUCUGACACCUUGAAACCUCCCAAUCUCUGGGGCGGUGCCUUAGCGGAGCCCCCGUCUGCUUUGACCUCUGACCCUUGUCCCAAAUUCUCUGGCCCUCCCUC